GAGCGAGCAGAACCAGCAGAUUUACUUCGGUAAUGACGCUGGGGACGCGAGCGGCGGAUGGGUGAGUAACACGUGGGGAACCUGCCCCAUAGUCUGGAAUACCACUUGGAAACAGGUGCUAAUACCGGAUAAGAAAGCAGAUCGCAUGAUCAGCUUAUAAAAGACGGCGUAAGCUGUCGCUAUGGGAUGGCCCCGCGGUGCAUUAGCUAGUUGGCAAGGUAACGGCUUACCAAGGCAAUGAUGCAUAGCCGAGUUGAGAGACUGAUCGGCCACAUUGGGACUGAGACACGGCCCAAACUCCUACGGGAGGCAGCAGUAGGGAAUCUUCCACAAUGGACGCAAGUCUGAUGGAGCAACGCCGCGUGAGUGAAGAAGGUUUUCGGAUCGUAAAGCUCUGUUGUUGGUGAAGAAGGAUAGAGGUAGUAACUGGCCUUUAUUUGACGGUAAUCAACCAGAAAGUCACGGCUAACUACGUGCCAGCAGCCGCGGUAAUACGUAGGUGGCAAGCGUUGUCCGGAUUUAUUGGGCGUAAAGCGAGCGCAGGCGGAAGAAUAAGUCUGAUGUGAAAGCCCUCGGCUUAACCGAGGAACUGCAUCGGAAA
rnacentral:rRNA from 1 species